GCAGAAUCCUGUGCUUUAACCACCAUUCUGUACAUACAGAUUGGUUUGGGGUGUACUGUGCAGGGGCGGCUCUAGGCACCAGCAAAGCAAGCACCUGCUUGGGGCAGCCCAUUUGCAGGGGCGGCAUGGGAGCUGAGAACCAACAGGGGGCUCUGGGAGCUGUAGUUCUUUGGUUAGCUCCCUACCUAGAGAGCCAGCCCUGGAGCAGGGAAAGAACUACAUUUCCCAGCAUUCCCUUGGCCACUACCAACUGAAAAGGAAGGAGGGGCACCUCAUGCGGCAGCGUGCUGUGAGUGCUGUGAAUGUUUUCAGGUGCUCCAGAUGGAAGUUUAAAGCAAAUUAAGACAUAGUGCCACUGACUCCAAAGCAAUUCUAGGAUCCAAAGAUUUCGGUGGAAACAAUUAUUGCUGCAGUUUCCAUUACAAUCACUACACUACUGCAGCAGUAAAAGAACCCAGCUUAUAAACACCAAACCACAACUUAAGAAAGUCCACGCACCUGCCUCUGAAGGAACAUGUGACCUCUGCUGACUUUAUAUAGGCUGCCAUAUUUGCAUUUAAUUUUGUUUUCUGCCUACACUGCUCAGCUUACACAGCACCAGUUCGACAUGCAGUA